UAUGUGAUCGUCUCUCGCAUAUCAAUAAGCGGAGGAAAAGAAACUAACAAGGAUUCCCCUAGUAACGGCGAGUGAAGCGGGAAGAGCUCAAAUUUGAAAUCUUAAAGGGUUUCCCUUUACGAAUUGUAGUUUAAAGAAGUGUUUUCUGUUGAGGUUUUGGUAAAAGUUCUUUGGAAUAGGACAUCAUAGAGGGUGAGAAUCCCGUAUUUGACCAUUACUUUUCAGCUGUGUGAUACACUUUCAAAGAGUCGGAUUGUUUGGGAAUGCAGUCCAAAAUGGGUGGUAAAUUUCAUCUAAAGCUAAAUAUUGGCGAGAGACCGAUAGCGAACAAGUACCGUGAGGGAAAGAUGAAAAGAACUUUGAAAAGAGAGUUAAACAGUACGUGAAAUUGUCAAAAGGGAAGCGUUUGACACCAGUGUUGUUUUUCUGAAAAUCAGUUAAAGAACUGUUUAUGCUAAGCUGUUUAGACUUUAUCAGCUAACUGUUUAGUUUUGAGCUUUUCUUUAAUGCACUUUUCAGUUAACAAGUCAACAUCAAUUUCUUUUGCUGUAAAAAAGCUUGAGGAAGGUGGCUUGAGAUUCGUCUUAAGUGUUUAUAGCCUCUUGCCUAUGCAGUCGGAGAGAUUGAGGUCUGCAGCGUAGAUCCUUCGGGGCUAAAUGCAUUUGUGCUAAGUUAUAGCAUUUUAUAGACAACUUGUUGACUAUGAUUUGUCUUGUAGCUUACUCGCUUAUGUUAUUUUACCUACGCUUAGGAUGUUGAGUAGCGACAUACGCAC
rnacentral:rRNA from 1 species